UAGUCCACGCCCUAAACGAUGGAUACUAGACGUCUGUUCUCCUAAUCGAAUAGGUGUCGUAGCUAACGCAUUAAGUAUCCCGCCUGGGAAGUACGGUCGCAAGAUUAAAACUCAAUGGAAUUGACGGGGGCCCGCACAAGCGGUGGAGCAUGUGGUUUAAUUCGAUGAUACGCGAGGAACCUUACCAGGGCUUAAAUGUACAUUGCAUAGCGUAGAGAUAUGCUUUUCUUCGGACUAUGUACAAGGUGCUGCAUGGUUGUCGUCAGCUCGUGCCGUGAGGUGUCAGGUUAAGUCCUAUAACGAGCGCAACCCCUACCGUUAGUUGCCAGCAUGUAAUGAUGGGGACUCUAACGGGACUGCCGGUGCAAACCGUGAGGAAGGUGGGGACGACGUCAAAUCAUCACGGCCCUUACGUCCUGGGCCACACACGUGCUACAAUGGCCGGUACAGAGGGAAGCCACCACGUAAGUGGGCGCGGAUCUAUAAAACCGGUCACAGUUCGGAUCGGGGUCUG
rnacentral:rRNA from 1 species